rnacentral:rRNA from 1 species
CCUACGGGCGGCAGCAGUGAGGAAUAUUGGUCAAUGGCCGGAAGGCUGAACCAGCCAAGCCGCGUGAAGGACGAAGGUGCCAAGCAUUGUAAACUUCUUUUGUCAAGGGACAAAAUCAGGCUCGAGAGCCUGACCGAGGGUACUUGAAGAAAAAGCAUCGGCUAACUCCGUGCCAGCAGCCGCGGUAAUACGGAGGAUGCGAGCGUUAUCCGGAUUUAUUGGGUUUAAAGGGUGCGUGGGCGGGCUGUUAAGUCAGCGGUAAAAGCCCGGGGCUCAACCCCGGCGAGCCGUUGAAACUGGCGGUCUUGAGAUGUCGAGAGGUAUGCGGAAUGCGCAGUGUAGCGGUGAAAUGCUUAGAUAUUGCGAAGAACUCCGAUUGCGAAGGCAGCAUACCGGAGGCGAUCUGACGCUGAGGCACGAAAGCGUGGGUAUCGAACAGGAUUAGAUACCCCGGUAGUC